GUUGGGAACUAGAUCUUGGAUUUUUCAGAGGUGAUUUCAGAGGCGUUCUUCAUCUGGAACGAAAGGCUGACGAAGAAGACAGCAACCAAGCUGAUUUCGUAAAGGGCCUUCAAUCGAGUCCAGAAGUCUCCAGAUCUGUUCGUUGCUGGUUUCGCUGUAUCCAAGGUCCAUGGGAGGAGCCGGGAUCAUGCUCCAACAAUAAGUUCUACCUCUAUC
rnacentral:lncRNA from 1 species